CGGGUGAGUAAUGUAUGGGGAUCUGCCUGAUGGCGGGGGAUAACUACUGGAAACGGUAGCUAAUACCGCAUAAUGUCUGCGGACCAAAGCGGGGGGACCGUCCGGGCCUCGCGCCAUCAGAUGAACCCAUAUGGGAUUAGCUUGUAGGUAAGGUAACGGCUUACCUAGGCGACGAUCCCUAGCUGGUCUGAGAGGAUGAUCAGCCACACUGGGACUGAGACACGGCCCAG
rnacentral:rRNA from 1 species